CCUACGGGAGGCAGCAGUGAGGAAUAUUGGUCAAUGGACGUAAGUCUGAACCAGCCAAGUCGCGUGAGGGAUGAAGGUUCUAUGGAUUGUAAACUUCUUUUAUAUGGGAAUAAAACAUGGUAUGUGUACUCUCUUGUAUGUACCUUAUGAAUAAGGAUCGGCUAACUCCGUGCCAGCAGCCGCGGUAAUACGGAGGAUCCGAGCGUUAUCCGGAUUUAUUGGGUUUAAAGGGAGCGUAGGUGGAGUGUUAAGUCAGUGGUGAAAGUUUGUGGCUCAACCGUAAAAUUGCCGUUGAAACUGGGAGUCUUGAGUACAGUAGAGGUGGGCGGAAUUCGUGGUGUAGCGGUGAAAUGCUUAGAUAUCACGAAGAACUCCGAUUGCGAAGGCAGCUCACUAGACUGCAACUGACACUGAUGCUCGAAAGUGUGGGUAUCAAACAGGAUUAGAUACCCGAGUAGUC
rnacentral:rRNA from 1 species